UUCAAAAUGCAAAUUGAAAAAGCUGUCAUUCGCUAGCUCAUGAAGACAAGGAUCACACUGUUUUUAAUAUAGACCAUUGAUUAUAGUGAAUCCAAGGGAUACAAAUUUUAACAUUUUUUUAUUAUCUCAUUGGCUAAGCCGUUAAAGUAGGGAUCAGGUUCUUUCUAAUAUUAACCGUUGAUUACAAUGAAUCUAACGGACCCAAAUUUAACCCUUUUUUUAAUCCUUCCGUCCUCUCAUCUCCUCAGUCGUCGUCUCUUUCAUCCCCUUCUUCCUCUAGAUCGAUUAUCAAAUUAGUUUCAAGCUUCAACCCACGACUCCACGAGAGCUUUUAAUGGGGAUCUAGGCUUCAACCCACGAGAUCUCGGCUAUUUGGGGGAGUCUUGAUUUCGAAAUCCGAGACCUGUUUAUUAAUCUGAUCGAAUUGGAGGAGGAAGAAGGCGAGGUGAUCGAGUUGGCUCCUCCUGUUCCUCAAAGCCGGAGAUGGCUGGGAACUCCUGAACAAGAUGGGAAAAUCUUCUAUUCAACAAGAGAUAAGCAUGGACCUGUAACCUUACAGAUUGGUGAAGGUGCAAAAGAAUGAUUUUGCAGCUUUUAUGAUGGGGAAGAAGACGACAUUGCUUUGUGAUUUUGAGACUGUAUUUUUUUAUUUUUUAAUUAUUGUAUUUUUAUUUUUCAAUGUAGAUUUUUCUUUUAAUAA